GAUAUAGUUUGCAUGCAUGUCUAGCUUUAUCUCGGCAUUGCAUGGUUGGAGUUUCUCUGGGUUGGGCUAUGGAAGGUGUAAUCCUUUUAGUUGUGCUCAGUACCUUUGGGGUCAUAUAACUGUUCGACUGGUUCUUGCGAUUGCCAGCCGAUUGGAGUUGACCCUUAAGGCUUGAAAUGCUAAGAGCUCUGUCGUGCACCACCUCUUCAAAGACUAUUGUUUUUGUCGUUGGUUCAAGGAUCUGUUGGGUCUACGGUC
rnacentral:misc_RNA from 1 species